GAGGCUAGGGUCGGCGGUGCGCUGGGUGGCCGGGGUGGCCGUGGACUGCGCUGAGCGGUGGGUGGGUGGAGCCGGGCACGGUGCUAACCGCCGUGAGUGGAACGCCCGGCGCGGCGGGGGCACCGCGGGCGGGGUGGCUGUGAGGACAGUAAUCCGGUGGCUCAGACAGGCGAGGCCAGCCUAGCCCAGGACGUAUUUAGUGGAAGAUAUGGUCAAACCGCUAGCAGUAGAGCCCACCUUCGCCUCAAAUAAGUACGAAACGCCUCCUGCUUGUUUUCUAAGAAUUAGGCAUUUCCAUGCGCCCUAGGAUUAUCCAGGUCACUGCAGUGGCCUCGAAUCAGAGACGCGUGGCCAGCCAGCGUCGCGUCCCUGCCCUACCCUUGUAGCAUGGGUUCUAGUUAAGUCCUUACUCUCGCUCAGGCUGGGAGACUUUCUCCCUCUUUGUCUCUUUGACCUUGAUCUUUCUGAGGCAUGCAAGCCAUAAGUGUACACACCGAUGCAUCCCCAUGGUUAGAUUAGGUUAUGCACUUUGGCAGGAGCAUCAGGGUGCUAAAUUCGCAGAAUCCUGUCAGGAGGCAAGGGUAUUCCUUUGUUAUUACUAUCCUAUGAGAAGGCAGUUUAGAUUUUGCAACUAUCCCGUCACUCCUCAAGCUCUUGAAAUUUUUAUUGAGGUAUUCUUGAUUUAUGAUACAUGAGUAAGGUGUACAACACAAUGAUUCACUAUUUUUAAAGAUUGUGCUCCAUUUAUAGUUAUUAUAAAAUAUUGAUUAUAUUCCCUAUGCUGUACAAUAUAUCCUUUUAGCUUAAGUAUUUUAUAAUUUGUACCUCUUAAUCCCUUACUCUUAUUUUGCCCCUCUCGCCUUUCCCUCUCCUCACUGAUAACUACUAGUUUGUUCUCUUUAUCUCUUUAUCUACUAUUAAAAGUGAUAACAUAUACUAUUUGUCUGACUUAUUUAGUAUGAUACACUAGGUUCAUCCAUGUUGUUGCAAAUGGCAAAAUUCCAUUUUAUAUAUAUACACCACAUAAUCUUUAUUAUCUGUUAAUGGACAUUUAGGUUUCUGUAACUUGGCUAUUGUAAAUAAUGCUGCUAUGAAUAUUGGGGUGCAUGUAUCUUUUCAAAUUAGUAUUUUCCUUGGAUAUAUAUCCAGGAGUGGAAUUAAUGGAUCAUAUGAUGGUUCAAUUUUUAGUUUUUUGAGGAACCUUCAUACUGUUUUCCACAGUGGCUGCACCAACUUAACAUUCCUACCAACAGUGUACAAGGGUUCUCUUCUCCAUGUCCUCACCAACUUGUUAUUUGUGGCCUUUUGAUGAUGGCCAUUCUAGAUGUGUGAGGUGAUAUCUCAUUGUGGUUUUGAUUUGCAUUUUUUUGAUAACUAGCAAUGUUGAACACCUUUAAAUGGGCCUGUUAGCCAUCCAUAUAUCUUCCUUGGAGACCUUCUAUUCAGGUCUCCAGCCUAUUUUUUUAAUCGGUGGUUUGUUUUUUCGAUAUUGAGUUGUAUGAGUUCCUCAAACUUUCCACCAGUUUCCAUUGAUAUUUCUUGCCUAAAUGAAUUACCAUUAUACUUUUUUUUCUGUUUUCAUCAUUCCUUCUGUACUUAUUCCACUUCGUCGAAAGAUAUUUCAUUCAUUAGUGGUAUGGAUUUGUGGGUUCUUAUUUUACCUAAUGAGUUACAAUCCAUUACUCUCCUUAUUCACUUAAAUGUUCAAAUAUGGCACAUGUGGCCAGUAGGAGCUCGUCCAGCUGGCUCUGUGUCCUUUCAACAUGCCAUGAUUUUUGAGCAUUUUCUGACUUUCUAGCAAAGUUGUUCCAGUAUUGUCUUGUACUCUCUGUCCCAGACCUGGAAUCAACCAUUUCUCCAAGGAGCCCUGAUUCCUUUCAGUGGUUUGAUUUGUAUGAGGAAAAACUGGCAUAAUUUUACUUGUGAAAUUUAAAAAAAUUCAGCAGGUUAAGGAUCCGGUUUUGUCACUGAAGCAGCUUGGGUCACUGCUAUGGCGUGGAUUCCAUCCCUGGCUUGGGAAGUUCUACAUGCCCCAGGUAUGGCCAAAAAAAUUCAAUAAAAAUUUUAAAUUAAAAAAAAAUUGUAGGGCAAUACUCCUACCCAUAGUAGGAGUAGGAUGUCCAGUCAGCCUGUCUGACCUGGCUUUUGCACAGAGAGCACCAAGUCCUAGGAGACCAUCAGGCCUAGGUGCAUCAUUUAGUCUAAGUGGGUGAGAUCAUAGAGGAAAGCAGGGAGAAGGAACAAGCCUUGUUUGAGCAAGGUUAACGUGGGAGGAAGGAAUGGUGAGAAGUGGUGGCCCCUUCUGACCCAAGCUGGCCAAACUCAAAACCCUGCCCCCUCCACACCUUCAUGUGGGGUUGGCCUGAGGAGGGAGAGGGGGAAAAGGCUGUGGGAAUCUGGUGCAGGCAUUGACCGUGGAGCUUAAAAUGGAAACAGAGUGAUUGUGGAAGGGGACAAGCAGUGAUUCUCCUAGGUGCUGGGGACAGAGGGCCUGUCACCAGAGGAGCCAUGAUGGGUGAUAGUGUUGGGAGGACAGGCAUCAGGACAGGGUUUAGGAGACCCAAAGAAUGCAUAGAAAGUGGCUGGUCAGGCUGCUGGUAUAAGGGAUUGGCAAGAUAGGAAGCAGGGCCACUGCUUGUUAGGAUCCAACUAGGCCUCCAAUAUUGCCAGUUACUUGACCUCCAUCAUCUCAUUGAAUCCUCCCAACACCCCAGGAGGUGGGAAUUAUGCUCUCUGAUUUACAAAAGAGGAAACAGGCUCAGGACAAAAUUCUUCCCACCACCUUGGACUUCUUACACCCCUCAUUUGAUCUGCCAAUCUGUAUGUAAAUGACAGAUCCAGCCUCAGCCUCCAGCCCUCCCAACUGUGGUUCCCUCUGUAGCUUGAACCUUAUUGCCUUCUACCUGAACUAUUUACUCACUUCCCCACUAGCCUUCCCCCAACCCCCUCACCCUAUCUUUUCUCUCACAGCAGCAGAAGGCUCUUCAGACCCAAGGCAGGUCACAUGCCCUUACUCAAAACCCUUUUGGUAUUUUCAGGCUGUUAAAAUAACACCACAAUUGGGAGGCUUAUAAGCAAGCCUUAUUUCUCAAGGUACUAGAAGUCCAAGAUCAUGGUGCCAGCAGAUUCAGCAUCUAGUGAGAACCUCCAGUGAACCCGCUUCCUCUUCUCUCACAUGGCAGGAGAGCUCCAGGAGGGACCAUGCCUCAGAAGUCUCCUGACCGACACCAGGGGCUCAGGACACCAGUGGAGACCGCCCGUACUUACUAUCCCCCACUCCCUGGACUCUACACCCCUCCCUGGGAUGGACAAUAUGAGGGAAUGGAGGCAGCUUUGGCAGACUGGGAUGCCAGAGAACAUCCAUGGUGCCCCUCCCCAAGAACAACUGGGUGACCCUUGGCCUAGGGACAAAGGCCUUGGUUAUCUCGCCGACCACUGCAUGCCCAUCCCUAGCACAGUGCCUUGCAUGUGCAAUCGAGGACAGGUCCAGACCCGCAGAGGACUCUGGUCAGGAACGCAUCUCUUGCCCAAAAGAACAAGUCUGGUGCAGUCUCGUGUGGAGAGGACUCGGGUGAACAGCCAGAGAAGCCGAGUGGAAGAGAAUGUGGAAAAGUGGAGGAGAAUGAGGUAAGCAUGUGAGGAAAGGGAAAAACAGGGCAGCUCAUAGAUGCUUGUCCUAUCAGGUUUUCCAUACUCACUAGAAAGAUGAAGGUGAUGUUAGCAGAAUGUGAAACUAUGAAGAAGUGAAAUACAGCUGAUUUUUCUCUGCCCAGGUAAGAAUGGACUCUGUAUACAUGUCUGAGCAAUGAAUUGUGUAACUUCAGGAAUUAUGCACAUGAACUGAAGGUUCUUAUAUUUGCAUUUAAAACUGGCAUCACACAAAAUAAAGAUAAAUGGUACAAUUCACACCAUUAUUUUAUUUUAUUUUAUUUUAUUUUGGCUGCAUCCGCAGCAUAUGGAAAUUUCCAGGCCAGGAAUUGACUCCAAGCCAUAGCUGCAACCUACACCAUAGCAGAGAUAAUGCCGGCUCCUUAACCUGCUGUCCCAUGGCAGGAACUCACAUACUAUAAUUUUAAAUUUUAAUUUUCUUAGAAUGACAUUAAAAAGCAAGUAAAAACAAGAGAGAGAACACACACAAAAAAAAGCACUUUCUGUGUUCGUACCUUUUACAGCACUUUUUCACUGCUAGCUGCGUAAGAGAUUACACGUUCAUUUGUACUGCAACAGUUAUGUUGUAGACCCGGUAUGUGGAGAAAGGAGAAAUAAAGUCAGGAAAGCUUCAUUGUGGAGGUAACAUUUGACCUGCGUCUGGAAAAUAAUUAGGGGUCUCCAGGUAGAAAUAAACAGAAGGAACAACAAAAACUCCUUUCAGGGGAUAUAAACAUGAGCCUUGGCCAUUUGGGCUGUGCCAUAUUGGGAUUUAUAAGAAAUCACCAAUGGCCAAUAAUUUAAUCAAUCACAAAGACUCUGGGAACCCCUGGUGUCUCUUCUUGUAAAGGUAUAAUACCACGAUGAGGGUCACAGUUACGAUCUCAUCUAAACUUAAUUAUCUUCCAAAGGCCCCAUCUCCACAUAGCAUCAUCACAUUGGAGGUGAGGGUUUCAAUGUGUGAGUAUGAGGCAGGGCAAAAGCCAGUCCACAGCAACAUGCAUGCAGUGUCUGGGGACUAGUGGCUGGGUUUGUAUGAUGAGAGUAGGUACUGAAUAGGUAGGUAGAAGCUGGAACAAAGCUAGUGUCAGGUUUAAAGUACCUCUCUACUGUGCUAAGAUUUAAACUUCAUGUUAGAAAAUUGGAGGAGUUCCCAUUGUGGCUAAAGUGGGUUAAGAACCCAACUAGUAUCCCUGAGGAUGCGAGCUUGAUCCUUGGCCUCACUCAGUGGGUUAAGGAUAUGGCAUUGCUGCAGACUGGCAUAGACUGAAGCUUGGAUCCCGAGUUGCUGUGGCUGUGGUGUAGGCCGGUAGCUGUAGCUCUGAUUCAACCCCUAGCCUGGGAACUUCUAUAUGCCACACGAGUGGCCCUAAAAAGCCAAAAAAAAAAAAAAAAAAAGAAAAAAAAAAA
rnacentral:lncRNA from 1 species